UGCGUAGGUGGUUUCUUAAGUCAGAGGUGAAAGGCUACGGCUCAACCGUAGUAAGCCUUUGAAACUGGGAAACUUGAGUGCAGGAGAGGAGAGUGGAAUUCCUAGUGUAGCGGUGAAAUGCGUAGAUAUUAGGAGGAACACCAGUUGCGAAGGCGGCUCUCUGGACUGUGACUGACACUGAGGCACGAAAGCGUGGGGAGCAAACA
rnacentral:rRNA from 1 species